UUCUUCUCCAAUUAAUUGCACGUGCAAAUGGUUUUAUGUUCUGGGGGCCACAUCAAUUCUUUACAUAUUACCCAAUCAUAUUGUAUGUUUAUUAAUAAUACUGGAUUAGGGGUUUUUGGGUAGUGAGGGUUUUUAUUUGAAUCAUUUCUUUAACGUGCAGUCAGGGGUGAGUAUAGAGUUACUGGCACCUGGGAGCAGGAUUACUUUGGCGCCCCCUCCUGGCAAGUAGCCUACAAACUAAAACACACUAACAUGCAAACCCACUCUAACACCCGCACACACACACGUUUAUCCUUCUCUUAAUCUAAAUUUCUCUUCUUUGUCUUUUUAUCUCUCCCCUUUGUCUCCAUUCUAUCUCCAUCUCAUUAUUGCUCUUCUUUCUCCCCAUCUCUCCUCUUAUUCAGAAUCAUUAUUAUAUUUGGCACCUUCAUCUUUCCAUUGCCUCUCCCCCCAGUAACUCACACAUGCACUGGCACACAUUUCUACACACACUCUCGCAUGUGCACAGAUGUACACACUCACACCGACACACACUUUACUAAUGUGCACUUACACAAAGACAUACAUGCUCACACACAAACACACUGGUGCUUAAACACAAACAUACACAUCUGUGCUCACAUACUUCCACAUCCAUGCUCACACACACAUCCAUGCUCACACAUACACACCUGUGCUUACAUACACACACGCAUACAUAUAAAUGCUGACACUUACACAUACACAUCUGUGUUCACACAUACGUGCUCACAAACACACAUACAUACAUACAUGCAUGCUCACAUACACUUUUCCUCCUUCCCCCUACCUGUCUCCCUCCUUCCCUUACUCAACCCCUUCGCUUAACAGAUUUUCUUGACUGCUUACAUGCUGUCUGAGAAGCCACACGUUUCACCACAGGGUCACGUAACGCCAGGUCACGUGACACCUCAGCUAAAUGCGAGGCAGCACGCACAGCGUACGAGCAGCCAAGAAAAUCCGUUCCUUCUCAGGAGGAAUGGCGAAUCGCAUCAGUGCCAGGCUCCAGGAAAUGGGGGUUUUCGAUUGGCUUAAACAAUCUCAAAUUCAGGUCCAUGGCAUUGCUGUCUCGCUACUCCUGCUUCCCUGGGCACCAUGCAAAGGUAAGAAUCCAUCAAUUCCAGAAACAAUCGCUGUCUCCUCAAAAUAAACAAAUCAAAAUAA